rnacentral:rRNA from 1 species
UACGUAGGGUGCGAGCGUUGUCCGGAAUUAUUGGGCGUAAAGAGCUUGUAGGCGGUUUGUCGCGUCUGCUGUGAAAAUCCGGGGCUCAACCCCGGACUUGCAGUGGGUACGGGCAGACUAGAGUGUGGUAGGGGAGACUGGAAUUCCUGGUGUAGCGGUGAAAUGCGCAGAUAUCAGGAGGAACACCCAUGGCGAAGGGCAGCUCCUCUGGUCGACCUCUGACGCUGAGACGCGAAAGCGUGGGAGCGAACGGG